rnacentral:tRNA from 1 species
CUAGUGUUAGUAUAAUAUAUUUUUAUUAUUUCUAUUUUCCGAAUAGAUGAUCCUUGUUUGGAUACUAGA